CUCCUACGGGAGGCAGCAGUGGGGAAUAUUGCACAAUGGGGGAAACCCUGAUGCAGCGACGCCGCGUGGGUGAAGAAGUAUUUCGGUAUGUAAAGCCCUAUCAGCAGGGAAGAAGAAUGACGGUACCUGACUAAGAAGCACCGGCUAAAUACGUGCCAGCAGCCGCGGUAAUACGUAGGGGGCAAGCGUUAUCCGGAUUUACUGGGUGUAAAGGGAGCGUAGACGGCAUGGCAAGUCUGAUGUGAAAACCCGGGGCUCAACCCCGGGACUGCAUUGGAAACUGUCAGGCUAGAGCGUCGGAGAGG
rnacentral:rRNA from 1 species